rnacentral:rRNA from 1 species
UACGUAGGGCGCAAGCGUUGUCCGGAAUUAUUGGGCGUAAAGAGCUCGUAGGCGGCUUGUCACGUCGGAUGUGAAAGCCCGAGGCUUAACCUCGGGUCUGCAUUCGAUACGGGCUAGCUAGAGUGUGGUAGGGGAGAUCGGAAUUCCUGGUGUAGCGGUGAAAUGCGCAGAUAUCAGGAGGAACACCGGUGGCGAAGGCGGAUCUCUGGGCCAUUACUGACGCUGAGGCACGAAAGCUAGGGGAGCGAACGGG